UACGGGGGGGGGCAAGCGUUGUUCGGAAUUAUUGGGCGUAAAGAGCUCGUAGGCGGUUUGUCGCGUCGACUGUGAAAACCUACAGCUUAACUGUGGGCUUGCAGUCGAUACGGGCAGACUUGAGUUCGGUAGGGGAGACUGGAAUUCCUGGUGUAGCGGUGAAAUGCGCAGAUAUCAGGAGGAACACCGGUGGCGAAGGCGGGUCUCUGGGCCGAUACUGACGCUGAGGAGCGAAAGCGUGGGGAGCGAACAGG
rnacentral:rRNA from 1 species